AGCGAACGCUGGCGGCAGGCCUAACACAUGCAAGUCGAACGAACCCUUCGGGGUUAGUGGCGGACGGGUGAGUAACACGUGGGAACGUGCCCUUUGGUUCGGAACAACUCAGGGAAACUUGAGCUAAUACCGAAUGUGCCCUUCGGGGGAAAGAUUUAUCGCCAUUGGAGCGGCCCGCGUCUGAUUAGCUUGUUGGUGAGGUAAAGGCUCACCAAGGCUACGAUCAGUAGCUGGUCUGAGAGGAUGAUCAGCCACAUUGGGACUGAGACACGGCCCAAACUCCUACGGGAGGCAGCAGUGGGGAAUCUUGCGCAAUGGGCGAAAGCCUGACGCAGCCAUGCCGCGUGAAUGAUGAAGGUCUUAGGAUUGUAAAAUUCUUUCACCGGGGACGAUAAUGACGGUACCCGGAGAAGAAGCCCCGGCUAACUUCGUGCCAGCCGCCGCAGUAACAC
rnacentral:rRNA from 1 species